rnacentral:rRNA from 1 species
AUGGAUGCUUAUAGUAAUCUACCAAUUGGAUCUUCCGGGAGGGACAAAACCAAUGUGCAUUAUAGAUGUUCACCUGACCAACUUCCGCCAUUUAUGAAAUGUCUUAGUGACAAGCAGAUAGGUUUUGUCAUGAAAAUUGGGUUUGAGAGCAUCUUGUCAAUGCAAGAUUUUAAGAUGGAUAAAGAUCUAACCCUAUGGCUGGUGGAUAAGUUCAAUUGUGACACCGAGAAGCUAGAAUUUGACGGAGGCAUAUCAAUUCCAGUGAGGCCCCUUGUGAAGUUUGUCCUUGUAAUUCCUUCAGGACCCAUCAAAGUUAUAGAGGGUCUCCAUGUCGACGAUGCUCUCUAUGAACACUACACUUGGGAUACGAGAGGGAAGAACGCGAAGGAAGUGGCGGAAGAAAUGUGCAGCAUAACUGAGGAGGAACCAUUCUGCAUAGCCUUUAUGAUGGCGAUAUUUGCAAUUUGGUUGCUGAUUGCCUAUUCAAAGGAAUCAAGGACUACAAAAAAAUCGGAUAGAUUGUAUGUCCAUGUGAAGGGCUGUGUGCACAUUCUGAGUGUCAUUUUUAUCGAUCUUGUGAAACACCCUACACUCAUAGUUCCAGAUGGCUUUCCACGCUUGAGUGUUGUCACUACGGAAAUGGGUUGCUUCAGAUCCAAAUGGGUAGUUGCACAUCCCUUUGGUAGCUUCCUGCCGGUACGUUGUCUAGAAGAGUCUGUCUAUGCUCCGGUGCUUAAUAACAUGCCAAAUGGUAACACUGUUGAAGGAGUAAAAUGCUCUGAUUCUGAUUCAAAUACUGAUGCUCUGGUCGAUCAGUUUGCAAUCACCGACACCGAUCAGAAUAACAACAAGCAUCCCAUUUUAGCAGAGCUUGGCAAUGCCAGAACAACCCAUAAUACAUCAAGCUCGCCCAUUGUUGACAAUCUAGUGUUUGAUACACCAGCUCAAUCAUCAGUUGCAGCGCCCAGUUCCUUGACAGAACACAUAAUUUUUCCAACAAGUGGCGAGCAAUUGCAGUCUGCUGGUCCUUCUGAUGAACCGCAUUCAGCACAAAUUAUGGACAGUGUGCAGAUUCCUCCGGAUACCACCGUGGAAAGGCGCAGGGGUUUGCUGUUGAUGAUGGAGAAGGACGAUUGGAGUGCCAAGAAGGCGCAGGUGGAGCUAUCCAGGAGUGGCCAAGUGAAGCAAGCCAGAGAAGUUACCAUAACGAUGGACAUGAGUUUGCUUAAUUGCAGCGUGUGCUCCCGCCCCAUCAAGCCCCCUGUCUUCGAGUGCAAUGCCGGGCACUUGGCUUGCUACAAAUGCCUCAUCGGGCUCCCCUAUAAACUGUGCCAGACGUGUGAGCACGGCAGUGGCUUUGGCCACGUCCGGUCAUUGGACGCCCUCAUCUCUUCCUUGACAGUCAAGUGCCACCAUGAUGGCUGCGGGAGCUACGUCCCCUACUACGAGCUUGACGACCAUCAAAGUGUGUGCUCCCAUGUGCCGUGCUUCUGCACAGAGCUUGGCUGUGGCUUCGUCGGUUCACCACAGGCGCUCCUCAGCCACUUGAUCACCAUGCACGCAAUGCCAGUGCACAAGGUCCAUUAUGGCCAAGUUCACCAGCUCCGGCUGUCGGUGCCGCGGCCGCGGUGCCUGCUCCAUGGGCAAGGGGACGACAGCGUGUUCCUCUUGGUCAUGGGCGUGCUCGGCGUCGUGUCUGUGGUGUGCAUCAGAGCUGAGGCAUCCUCAUGGCCGCAGUACGCUAUCAAGCUUCAGGCGAAUGGUCCGCCACCACCGAGCAGCGUAGAAGGCAGCAUUUUGUUGGCCAUGAAGCCAGUGACGAGCAGCACGAGGCCUGGGGAGGUGACCGUGGAGGAGCUGCCGUCUUUCUUGAUGGUGCCACCUACUUAUCUGGUUGGUUCUGGGGCAUCCAAGGAGGUGUCUCUUGACGUUUGCAUUGACAAGAUGUGA